CUAACCGUACCCUUAACCCCCGGUUACCCACGGGACCCGUACCGACCCGUUUCCCAGGGACGUCCGACUUCCCGGGAAUCCCACGCACGGGAAUGAGUCAGGAUCGGGGAGAACAGGGAAGGAACUCAGCGUUCCCGACAUUCCCGAUGUUCCCGAGCCGGGAUGGGAUCGGAUCCAACCAUCUGGGAAGAGAAAGCUCUCCAGAUGUCCUGGAAUUUCGGGAUGGAAGCUUCCAGGAGGAUCCUCAAUCCCACUUUUUUUUCUUUGGCUGUUGGGGUCGUGGUUCCCAGCUGAUCCCAGCCUCGUCAUUCCCAGCCCUGCAGCCCAUCCCAGGAAUUCCAUGGGAUCCCAGGCAUUCCCACAGGGAGAAUUCCCAAGUUUCAGGGGGAUGUUUCCCAAUUUUCCAAAUGAUUCCCUCUAAUCCCCAUCCCGAUGGACAUUUUGGCCAUUCCAGCUGCUCCAGCUGGGAGCGCUCCCAAAAAAAGGAAUCCCAAAGCAUCCCCAGGCUUUGGAAAAAUCCCAAAUCCCAAAUCCCGGUGGGAAUCAGAUCCCCGCGGGAAGCGCUUCCAGACAGCGUUUCCCAGGAAGCCGGGAUGGAAAAGUGGGAAAAGCAGGAAAACUCCGGGAUCCCCCCUCACCUGAGCGGCGGAGCUUUGGGAAUUCCGGCCGCGGAUUCCCGGGAAUCCUUCCCGCUCCCGGUGCAGGGGGGGGAUCCUCCCCCACCCCCCCCCACCCCAGCCCCCGGGAUCCCGGGAAAAGCCGGAGCCGCUCCCGGAGCGCGGAAGGAGCCGGGGCAGGAAGGGGGAAGGAGCGGGAGAGGCGGUCCCGGGGAGCCGCCACUCCCCCGGGAAGCGGCGGCACCUUCCCGGUGCCGGGAUCCCCGGGAAUCCUUGGAAUUCCGCCCGCAGGAUGAUCCCGCAGAGCCGCUUAAAAGUAUGGGAAUGCCGGGAGGAAAAACGGGAAGAUCCCACAGCUGAGAUCCCGGGAUCGGCUGGGAAUUCCCAAUGGGAAUGGGGGAGUGAAGGGGGGGGUGAGCGCCUCCCGAAAUUCCAGGUGGGAAUUCCUGUGGAGCUGCAGCCCCUGCUGGGAUUCUUCUCCCAGACCCUUUCCUGGACCAGAGGAUCCUUCCCACUCCUGGGAUCUUCGGGAUUCUGGGAAUUCUGCCCCGAGGAUCCUUCACUGAGGAGGAAUCCCGAUCCUGAUCCUGAUCCCGAUCCUGAUCCCAGAGUGGUUCAAAAUGAUGGGAAUUCCAGGAGGAAAAGGGAAGUAUUCCAGCUGGGAAUUCCCAGGGGGAAAAGGGAAGUAAAGGGGGAUGAGCUCUUCCUGAAAUUCCAGGUGGGAAUUCCUGCAGCCCCUUUCCUGGCCCAGAGGAUCCUUCCCACUCCUGGGAUCUUUGGGAACCUGGGAAUUCUGCCCCAAAGAUCCUUCACUAUGGUGGAAUCCCAAUCAUGAUCCUGAUCCUGAUCCUGAUCCCGAUCCUGAUCCUAAUCCCAAUCCCGAUCCCAGAGUGGUUUAAAUUUAUGGGAAUUGCAGGAGGAAAAGCGGGAAGGGGAGGGGAGCAGUGGGGUGCCCCUGAUCCCACAGUUUGGGGGUAGCUGUGAUCCCAGGAUGAGCUGGGAAUUCCCAGCAGGAAUGGGGAAGUGAAGGGGGUGAGCACUUCCCAGAACUCCAGGUGGGAAUUCCUGUGGAGCUGCAGCCCAUGAUGGUGUUCAAAGGCACCUGGCUCAUUCCCAAUCCCAAUCCCAAUCCCAUUCAAAAUUACCUUCUCAUUCCCAUUCCCAUUCCAUCCUCUUCUCAUUCCCAUUUCCAUCUCCUUCCCAAUCCCAUUAUCAAUCCCAAUCCGAAUCCCAUUCCCAAUCCCAAUCCCAAUCCCAAUCCCAAUCUCAACCCCAAUCCCAAUCCCAACCCCAUUCCCAUUCCCAUUCCAAUCCCAAUCCCUAUUCCCAUCCCAAUCCCAAUCCCAAUCCAAAUCCCAUC
ensembl:lncRNA